rnacentral:rRNA from 1 species
AGUGAACGCUGGCGGCGUGCCUAAUACAUGCAAGUCGAACGAAGUGGCGCACGGAUGAGUAAUAAAUAGUUAAUCGGCACUACACAGAGGAAAAACAGGUGGAAACGGCUGCUAAAACCUCAUAGUGUAGGAUGAGACUAUAUCGUAUCAGCUAGUUGGUAAGGUAAUGGCUUACCAAGGCUAUGACGCGUAACUGGUCUGAGAGGAUGAUCAGUCACAUUGGAACUGAGACACGGUCCAAACUCCUACGGGAGUCAGCAGUAAGGAAUAUUGCGCAAUGGGGGAAACCCUGACGCAGCAACGCCGCGUGGAGGAUGACACUUUUCGGAGCGUAAACUCCUUUUAUCAGGAAAGCGGUACCUGAUGAAUAAGCACCGGCUAACUCCGUGCCAGCAGCCGCGGUAAUAC